rnacentral:rRNA from 1 species
UGAGUAAUGCAUAGGAAUCUACCUAGUAGUAUGGGAUAGCCCUAGAAAUGGUGGGUAAUACUGUAUAAUCCCUGCGGGGGAAAGAUUUAUCGCUAUUAGAUGAGCCUAUGUUAGAUUAGCUAGUUGGUAGGGUAAAGGCCUACCAAGGCGAUGAUCUAUAGCUGGUCUGAGAGGAUGAUCAGCCACACUGGAACUGAGAUACGGUCCAGACUCCUACGGGAGGCAGCAGUGGGGAAUAUUGGACAAUGGGCGCAAGCCUGAUCCAGCUAUGCCGCGUGAGUGAGGAAGGCCUUAGGGUUGUAAAACUCUUUCAGUAGGGAAGAUAAUGACGGUACCUACAGAAGAAGUCCCGGCAAACUCCGUGCCAGCAGCCGCGGUAAUACGGAGGGGGCAAGCGUUGUUCGGAAUUAUUGGGCGUAAAGGGCAUGUAGGCGGUUCGGUAAGUUAAAGGUGAAAUGCCAGGGCUUAACCCUGGAGCUGCUUUUAAAACCUGCC